UUAAGCUACUAAGAGCUUAGGGUGGAUGCCUAGGCACCAAGAGCCGAAGAAGGACGUGAUAAGCUGCGAUAAGCUACGGGUAGGAGCAAAUAUCCCUCGAUCCGUAGAUGUCCGAAUGAGGAAACUCAACUCAGGUAAAUGCUGAGUUAUCUCUGUAUGAGUAAAGUAGUACAGAAGAGGGGAACGAAGGGAACUGAAACAUCUUAGUACCUUUAGGAGUAGAAAAUAAACCAAUGAUUCCUUAAGUAGUGGCGAGCGAAAGAGGAAGAGCCCAAACCGAUUGGCUUCGGUCAGUCGGGGUUCGGAGUUACAACAAAGUGUAAGAUUAAUUGUAGUGGAAAUGUUUUGGAAAAGCAUAUCAAAGAGGGUGAGGAAUCCCGUACACGAAACAAGAGAGAAAUGCGAGUAACAUCCAGAGUAAGGCAGGACACGAGAAAUCCUGUGUGAAUGAGCGGGGACCAUCCCGUAAGGCUAAAUACUACUUGGUGACCGAUAGUGAACGAGUACCGUGAGGGAAAGGUGAAAAGAACCCCGGAAGGGGAGUGAAAUAGAAUCUGAAACCCUUUGCUUACAAGCAGAUAGAGCACGUUAAAUGUGUGAUAUCGUACUUUUUGCAUAACGGUCCGGCGAGUUAAUUUAUAUGGCAAGGAUAAAUGCUUUAGGCAUGGAUCCGAAGAGAAAUCGAGUCUGAAAUGGGCAAAUUAAGUCAUAUGAAUUAGACCCGAAACCGGGUGACCUACCCAUGUCCAGGGUGAAGCUAGAGUGAAAUCUAGUAGAGGCCCGAACCAGGUGAUGUUGAAAAAUCAUUGGAUGAGGUGUGGGUAGCGGAGAAAUUCUAAUCGAACUCGGAUAUAGCUGGUUCUCCUCGAAAUAGCUUUAGGGCUAGCCUUGAGUAAAAACUUUAUGGGGGUAGAGCACUGAAUGAGUAAGGGGUCUGAACAGAUUACCAAUCUUUAUCAAACUACGAAUACCAUAAAAGAAGCUCAGGAGUCAGACUAUGAAAGCUAAGUUCCAUAGUCAAAAGGGAAACAGCCCAGACCACCAAUUAAGGUCCCAAAGGAAUAACUAAGUGGAAAACGAUGUGAUUUUGCGCAGACAACCAGGAUGUUGGCUUAGAAGCAGCAAUUCAUUUAAAGAGUGCGUAAUAGCUCACUGGUCGAGUGAAGUUGCGCGGAAAAUUACCGGGGCUAAGUUAUUCACCGAAAUUGUGGAUUUGGUAUUACCACGUGUAAUAUUAAGUGGUAGAGGAGCGUUCUAUAGGGUUUGAAGCAUGAUCGAAAGGACAUGUGGACUAUAUAGAAGUGAGAAUGCCGGAAUAAGUAGCGAGAGCAAAGUGAGAAUCUUUGCCGUCGAAAAUCUAAGGUUUCCUGGGGAAGGUUCGUCCGCCCAGGGUAAGUCGGGUCCUAAGGCGAGGCCGAGAGGCGUAGUCGAUGGACAGCAGGUUAAGAUUCCUGCACUAGAGAACAUGUAAUAUAUUAGAGGACACAUUUCUAGAAGGUGUGCGAGGAUAUGGAUAUACUCGUAUCGCAAGAUAUAGUGAAAAUUAGUAAUGAAUCACCAAGACAGAGGUGGCGAGAAAAGUCUAAUGUAGUUGUGUGAUCUACCCGUACCGCAAACCGACACAGGUAGAUGAGGAGAGGAUCCUAAGACGAGCGGGAGAAGCAUUGUUAAGGAACUCGGCAAAUUGGUCCCGUAACUUUGGAAGAAGGGACGCUGGCAGUAAAUGUCAGCCGCAGUGAAUAGGCCCAAGCAACUGUUUAUCAAAAACACAGGUUUCUGCUAAAUCGUAAGAUGAAGUAUAGGAGCUGACGCCUGCCCAGUGCUGGAAGGUUAAAGGGAAGAGUUAGGUGUAUUUAUAUUCCGAAGCUUAGAACUGAAGCCCCAGUGAACGGCGGCCGUAACUAUAACGGUCCUAAGGUAGCGAAAUUCCUUGUCAGGUAAGUUCUGACCCGCACGAAAGGCGUAAUGAUUUGGGCACUGUCUCAAACAAGACAGAAAGACCCCAUGGAGCUUUACUAUAGCCUGAUAUUGAGUUUUAGUGAUACUUAUAUAGGAUAAGUGGGAGGCACUGACGAAAAGACGCUAGUUUUUUAAGAGCCAUCCUUGGAAUACCACUUUUGUAUCGCCAGAAUUCUAACUUGUGAUCAUUAUCUGGUCAGAGGACAGUGUCAGGUGGGUAGUUUGACUGGGGCGGUCACCUCCUAAAGAGUAACGGAGGUGCGCAAAGGUUCUCUCAGUACGGUCAGAAAUCGUACAUUAGAGUGUAAAGGCAUAAGAGAGCUUAACUGUAAGGGAGACAUCCCGAGCAGAUACGAAAGUAGGUCUUAGUGAUCCGGUGGUAGAAUAUGGAAUUGCCAUCGCUCAACGGAUAAAAGUUACCCUGGGGAUAACAGGCUUAUCUCCCCCAAGAGUUCACAUCGACGGGGAGGUUUGGCACCUCGAUGUCGGCUCAUCGCAUCCUGGAGCGGAAGUACGUUCCAAGGGUUGGGCUGUUCGCCCAUUAAAGCGGUACGCGAGCUGGGUUCAGAACGUCGUGAGACAGUUCGGUCCUUAUCUGUCACAGGCGCAGGAUAUUUGAAGGGAGUUGCCCCUAGUACGAGAGGACCGGGGUGAACAUAUCAAUGGUGCAACAGUUGUCGUACCAACGGCAUGGCUGUGUAGCUAAAUAUGGAAGGGAUAAACGCUGAAAGCAUCUAAGUGUGAAGCCCACCCUAAGAUAAGAUAUCCCAUACCAUAAGGUAGUAAGAUUCCAGUAAGACUAACUGGUUGAUAGGUUGGAGGUGUAAGUGUAGCGAUACAUGUAGCUGACCAAUACUAAUAGAUCGAGGGCUUAACCAC
rnacentral:rRNA from 1 species